UCUCCGUUGGUGAACCAGCGGAGGGAUCAUUACAGAGUUGCAAAACUCCCAAACCCUCGUGAACAUACCCGUUACAGUUGCUUCGGUGGGCGGCCCCAGGGCGGGGCCGAAGCCUCUUCUCACGAGGCGCCCGCCGGGGGUAUAUAAGUCUUAGUAUUACGGUCUCUCUGAGUAAAUUUAUAAUAAGUCAAAACUUUUAACAACGGAUCUCUUGGUUCUG
rnacentral:misc_RNA from 1 species